AGUUCUUUCAUCGCCACUAUAUCCCAUCUGAAAUAAAAGAAAUAAAAGAAAGGGUGAUUUACAUCAACCUCCCCUGACGUUUGUUCGAAUUACAUCAUUUUGCUAAAAGUCCGUUUAUUACCUUUAAACCCACAAAAUUGACACCGUUAAUAUCCGUUUUUGGGUUAGGCCGUUAGGUUCAUUGAAAAUUUUGAAAAACCCGAAAUUACCCUUCAAUAUCUUCAACCCAACAGGCAAAGUUCUCCAGCGACUAAGCAGGCGAAGGCAAGCAUGCCGCGAGCGAUGGGAAGGCUUCUCCUCUCCGGCGAAGGGUACUCUGAACAGGACGGGUUUUCCUCUUCGGUGAAGGCAAAGCGCGAGCGACGAACCAGGCGACGGGAGGGCUUCUCCUCUCCGUCUCAGGGGGAAGUUCUGAGAGCACUAGGAAUCUCAGGUGACGGGCGACGAGUGAUGGAGACUUAAUUUCUGUGUGUAUUCACCAACCGAGACGCAAGGGUGUCUUCAAUUUCAGGUAAUUUCAAACUUCGUGCGCCUUUGGUGCCUGAUAUACCUGGUUUUUGCAGGUUUGAUAUUUGAUUUAUAGAAUCGGCAUAUCUGCAGAUCUUAUCGAUUUGUAGAUUGACGUCAAAUCUUUAGGUAUUUUGAAUCCAAAUAUCGAAAAAAUCGGGUGAAAUUUGAGGGAGAUGGCGAGGUUCUAUUCCAUAUAAUGGAUGAUGAUAAUUUUAGAUCUAUUUUGAGGAGUUCAGGUGUGGAUGUCUGGACUUUCAUAGACACGGCAAUCUCUGUUGCCUCCUCCAACUAUAGAAACGAAUGGAAAGAUCGAAGAGAUGGAAUCAUUGAGUGGCUUUAUACACCUACGAUUCCCUAUUGUAAGAACUGUGAUCUUGAUUCGUUGAAGUCAAAUAACAAAGAGAUUAAGAAAGUGCAGCAACAAUCUUCUUCCAUUGAAAAAGAAACCAGCAACCAUGAGGGAAAAAGGAGGUUCUCCUUCGCCUCCACAGUCACUUGAUGAUGGCAAUGAUGGCGACGAUGAUAGAGAUCGGAGCUAUGGAAUUGACCCAGAACAGACGAAGAUUCUCAAUAUUAAGGAACAUUUCGAAGAUCCUGAUCAGUCCGAAGAUUCUUUGAUAAAUCUAUUACAAAGCCUAGCAGACAUGGAUAUAACAUUCAAAGCUCUUAAGAAAGUGCGACGGAUUUAGGGUGGGAAGAAGAAGAAGCAUAAGGAGGGGGAGGGGGUAAUUCUAAAACUAACACUGGUGUCAAUUUUGUGGGUUUUAAUGUAAUAAAUGGAAUUUUAGAGGGGAUGAUGUAAUUCGGAUAAAUGACAGGGAGGUUGAUGUAAAUGAACCUAAAAGGAAUAGACAAAGCAGAUCUUUAAAAAUAAUUCAUUUAUUUUGUUAAUUUAUAACUGUUUCUGAUUCA